rnacentral:rRNA from 1 species
GACGAACGCUGGCGGCGUGCCUAAUACAUGCAAGUAGAACGCUGAAGAGAGGAGCUUGCUCUUCUUGGAUGAGUUGCGAACGGGUGAGUAACGCGUAGGUAACCUGCCUUGUAGCGGGGGAUAACUAUUGGAAACGAUAGCUAAUACCGCAUAACAAUGGAUGACACAUGUCAUUUAUUUGAAAGGGGCAAUUGCUCCACUACAAGAUGGACCUGCGUUGUAUUAGCUAGUAUGUGAGGUAAUGGCUCACCUAGGCGACGAUACAUAGCCGACCUGAGAGGGUGAUCGGCCACACUGGGACUGAGACACGGCCCAGACUCCUACGGGAGGCAGCAGUAGGGAAUCUUCGGCAAUGGGGGCAACCCUGACCGAGCAACGCCGCGUGAGUGAAGAAGGUUUUCGGAUCGUAAAGCUCUGUUGUAAGUCAAGAACGGGUGUGAGAGUGGAAAGUUCACACUGUGACGGUAGCUUACCAGAAAGAGACGGCUAACUACGUG